GGUGGCCCAAUUCUACAUGGA
rnacentral:siRNA from 1 species